AUUGAACGCUGGCGGCAGGCCUAACACAUGCAAGUCGGACGGUAGCACAGAGAGCUUGCUCUCGGGUGACGAGUGGCGGACGGGUGGGUAAUGUCUGGGGAUCUGCCCGAUAGAGGGGGAUAACCACUGGAAACGGUGGCUAAUACCGCAUAACGUCGCAAGACCAAAGAGGGGGACCUUCGGGCCUCUCACUAUCGGAUGAACCCAGAUGGGAUUAGCUAGUAGGCGGGGUAACGGCCCACCUAGGCGACGAUCCCUAGCUGGUCUGAGAGGAUGACCAGCCACACUGGAACUGAGACACGGUCCAGACUCCUACGGGAGGCAGCAGUGGGGAAUAUUGCACAAUGGGCGCAAGCCUGAUGCAGCCAUGCCGCGUGUAUGAAGAAGGCCUUCGGGUUGUAAAGUACUUUCAGCGGGGAGGAAGGCGAUGUGGUUAAUAACCGUAUCGACUGACGUUACCCGCAGAAGAAGCACCGGCUAACUCCGUGCCAGCCGCCGCGGUAA
rnacentral:rRNA from 1 species